AAAAUUACGAUGCAUUGAUGGUAAAAUAGAAAGGGUGAAGAAUAACUAUUCCUCACCCAAAGUGACGAAUAGUCAAUCUCUAAUAAUAACACUAUUCUGAUUCUAGCAUCAGAAUAUCAGAAUAGUUAUUUGGAUCAGGGCGCGCCCAGCCGACGGGAUGUUCCCGAACCGGUGCGCCCCGAUGGAAAAAAAGCCCACCACCAACCCGACGCUACGCCCACGAUCCACUCCCGCACCACCAGCCUCGUUUCACGCUCGAUCCCCGCGCGCCGGCGCCACCCUGGAUCCCGUCGCGCCGCUGCCCGCCGUCACCGGACCUGGAUCCCGUUGCGCCGCCGCCCGCCGUCACCGGACCUGGAUCCCGUCAUGCCGCUGCCCGCCGUCGCCAGGAUCCCGUCAUGCCGCUGCCCGCCGUCGCCGGCCCUGGACCCCAUCGCGCCGCCGCCAGGCCGUGGAUCUCCGCGCGCCGCCGAAGACCACCACCUCCAAAGCGCCGUCCCUAACCUCCCACUCCCCACUACCACCUUCCUGCGCCGCCGCCUGCGCACCGCCGCCGCGGCCCGCCCCCACCAACCACCCCCGGCGCUGACUAGGUUGGCCCUGCCCAGGCUCCAUCGCUGCCUUGCAGCCUCCUCCCGGUGGGGCUCCACAGCCACAGCACCAAGGGCGUUCAUCACCGCUACCUCCGGCCGUUCAGGUACGCAACCCCUGGAGGUGCCGCAGCCGCAGCUUGGGGAAAUUACUGCAGAGUUCAUCUCCUCCACAACGUACAUUUGAUUUUGCACCUUUUUGUCAUUUUUCACCCAUUUUAUUUCAGCAAGAUGGUUGUUGAAUGCUUGACCUGCUAGGCUACUACAAAUCUGCAGGCAAAAGUUGAACUUCACCAAAAUAUAGAAAAAAAUGAUGAGCACGGACGCAGUCGAUGUCCGAUGUGUUCCCCUGCUGAUGAAGUAAUUCAAGGAGUAGGUGGUUUCAUUCAUGAAGCACCAGCAACAAAAUCUUCAGUUUUUCUUCUCUGUAGUAAUUUCCCCAAGCUGGAGGGAGCAUCAACCAUCCUUUUCUACCUUUGUAUGUUCAGAGUGUGGAGAGAAAAUGAGAGAUGGGGACGAGCUUGGUAGUCUGCACCUCGUAUGAAGCACCAACCAUCUUCAUGUUCAUUCCUCGCCCGCGUGGCUGGCAUCCAUUCCCGUCCUACAUCUUCCUUUUCAGCCGUUGAAGCUACAGAUGGAGUGCGCCAUGCAGCAGCGUCAGCCCAACGGGCAUGCGACGGCCGACGAUGGCUGGGUGUGGCGUGCGUCUCUCUAGGGUGCUGGACGUGGCUGAAGUUCGAAGUGGCCGGGGAUUAAAGUUCAGGGAGUGUUUUUUAGUACGCUAGUGAUACCCCGCGCAUUGCAGCGGGAAUUUGUAGUGACAAAAUUUGAAUAUAGUAGACCAAAAAUAUAAAUAAAUUAUGCGGUAUUUCAAGGUA